rnacentral:rRNA from 1 species
UACGAAGGGGGCUAGCGUUGUUCGGAAUUACUGGGCGUAAAGCGCACGUAGGCGGAUUGUUAAGUUAGAGGUGAAAGCCCGGGGCUCAACUCCGGAACUGCCUUUAAGACUGCAUCGCUUGAAUCCGGGAGAGGUGAGUGGAAUUCCGAGUGUAGAGGUGAAAUUCGUAGAUAUUCGGAAGAACACCAGUGGCGAAGGCGGCUCACUGGACCGGUAUUGACGCUGAGGUGCGAAAGCGUGGGGAGCAAACAGG